CACGUAGGGGGCAAGCGUUGUCCGGAUUUAUUGGGCGUAAAGAGCUCGUAGGCGGCUUGGCAAGUCGGGUGUGAAACCUCCAGGCUCAACCUGGAGACGCCACUCGAUACUGCCAUGGCUAGAGUCCGGUAGGGGACCACGGAAUUCCAGGUGUAGCGGUGAAAUUCGUAGAUAUCAGGAGGAACACCGGUGGCGAAGGCGGCCAAUCUGGACGACAACUGACGCUGAGAUGCGAAAGCGUGGGGAGCAAACAGGAUUAGA
rnacentral:rRNA from 1 species